rnacentral:rRNA from 1 species
GAUGAACGCUGGCGGCGUGCUUAACACAUGCAAGUCGAGCGAGUGAGUUCUUCGGAACGAUCUAGCGGCGGACGGGUGAGUAACACGUGGGCAACCUGCCUCAUAGAGGGGAAUAGCCUCCCGAAAGGGAGAUUAAUACCGCAUAACAUCGUUGGAAGGCAUCUUUCGAUGAUCAAAGGAGCAAUCCGCUAUGAGAUGGGCCCGCGGCGCAUUAGCUAGUUGGUGAGGUAACGGCUCACCAAGGCGACGAUGCGUAGCCGACCUGAGAGGGUGAUCGGCCACAUUGGGACUGAGACACGGCCCAGACUCCUACGGGAGGCAGCAGUGGGGAAUAUUGCACAAUGGGGGAAACCCUGAUGCAGCAACGCCGCGUGAGUGAUGACGGCCUUCGGGUUGUAAAGCUCUGUCUUUGGGGACGAUAAUGACGGUACCCAAGGAGGAAGUCACGGCUAACUACGUGCCAGCCGCCGCCGUAAAAC